rnacentral:rRNA from 1 species
CAGUCGCCGCGGGAAUACGUAGGGUGCAAGCGUUAAUCGGAAUUACUGGGCGUAAAGCGUGCGCAGGCGGUUAUAUAAGUCAGAUGUGAAAUCCCCGGGCUCAACCUGGGAACUGCAUUUGAAACUGUAUGGCUAGAGUGUGUCAGAGGGGGGUAGAACUCCACGUGUAGCAGUGAAAUGCGUAGAUAUGUGGAGGAAUACCGAUGGCGAAGGCAGCCCCCUGGGAUAACACUGACGCUCAUGCACGAAAGCGUGGGGAGCAAACAGGAUUAGAUACCCCUGUAGUCCCUGUCUCUUAUAC